GACGGAGGGUGCAAGCGUUGCUCGGAAUCAUUGGGCGUAAAGGGUGCGUAGGCGGCUUUUUAAGUCUGACGUGAAAGCCCAGGCUUAGCCUUGGAAGUGCGCCAGAAACUGGAAGGCUAGAGUGCCGGAGGGGAGAGUGGAAUUCCUGGUGUAGCGGUGAAAUGCGUAGAUAUCAGGAGGAACACUGGUGGCGAAGGCGGUUCUCUGGGCAUUACCUGACGCUGAGGAGCGAAAGUGUGGGGAGCGAACAGG
rnacentral:rRNA from 1 species